GCGCUUGUUUUGGCAGCACUUAAACAAAAACUAGAAUAAAUCAGAGAAGAUUACCCCUUGCACAAAUAUGACAUGCAACUUAAUGAAGUACCCCAUUUUUAU